rnacentral:lncRNA from 1 species
UUUUUUUUUUUUUUUUUGGUCUUUUGUCUUUUUAGGGCCACACCAGCAGUGUAUGGAGGUUCCCAGGCUAGGGGUCCAAUUGGAGCUGUAGCUGCUGGCCUAUAGCAGAGCCACAGCAAUGUGGGAUCCCAGUCACACCUGUGACCUACACCACAGCUCAUGGCAAUGCCAGAUCCUUAACCCACUGAGCAAGGCCAGGGAUCGAACCGGUGUCUUCAUGGAUGCUAGUCGGGUUCACUAACCACUGAUCCAUGACAGGAACUCCAGGUCAGCCUUCUUGGUGGUAGGAACGUUCCUGGAUGUGGCCACCUCACCCACAUGUCCUUCUCUGGGCCAGGCUGGCUUUGAGGGAUGGCCAUAGGUGUUCUCUCUGUGGAAGAGGAGGCAUCCAUGGACAGGGAGGGCAGCUGUUGGAGACUCACCCACUGCCCAUGUUUUUAGUGACAAGUUCCCCGUGGCUGGGAUAUAGGCUAAAAGAAAUGGACACAAGAGGAAUGUGCCUGCAGAGGCAUGAGCUGCAUCUGUUCAUGAGCUCUGGUUUUUACUCUAUAGACAAAGCCGACUCCAGCUGGUGUGGUGGCCAAACCAUACCCUGCUCAUAAAGACAAUGAGAGUCAGUGUGGAUCCAUUACUCCCCAUGUUGCACAAGCAUUAUCUUAGGUAAUAAAGGUGGGGUCAACUAGUGGUUGGCAGCAUGGAGCUUGGAGCCAGAUGACCCGGCUUCAAAUUCUUGACACAUCCUUUAUUAGCUGUGUAAUCUUAAUUGUUCUCAGUGUCUGCUUCCUUUGCUGUAGAAGCAGAUAAGCAUGGCUGACCUGUCUUCUGUAGUUGUUGAAAGGAUUCCACUUAGUGUCCUGUAGGCAUGGGCUCUUAUUGUGAAUGCUCCCACUAGUGCUGGGAGACAGGUAUCAUUGCUCUCAUUUGAAAGAGAAAGUUAACUGAGAUACCAGGAACUUAAGAUUCCAACCCAGACAAGUGACUCCCAAACCUGCUGCUUCCUGAAGUUCCUACCGGUUGUGUCUGGAUGUGCCCCCAGCUCCAGGAGGCAGUGGGACAGAGUUUUGUUCUUUCCACACAUCCUAUAUGAGCCUAGAGUCUCCACUUAUUAUUCCUCAGAAGCCCUCUGCUCCCCUAGCAGCCUCGCUCUGUGUCCAGGCUCCGACUGCUAUUUGUAAAGCUACAGUGUGGAGAGUACUGUAAAAAUACUAACAUCUGGGGGUUUUCUGGGCCUGGGCAAAGUGUGCAUCUCAGAGGGCAUAGUCCUCAGUGGAGACUGAAAAUCUCUGGGGUCUGAAGCUGCCUUGAACUUGGACUGCCAAAGAGGCUCUCAAUGUGACCUCGCACAGCCUUUCUGCUCCAGUUUAUUGACUGCUGCUUUGUGCACCUGUGAGUUACAUUUGCAGCGUUCUGAGGCUGAAAGGGUUCCUGUAAAUGCUCCAUGUAAUUAAUUAUAAACAAAGCAGCCAGCCAGGAGCACAAUGCCGAAAGAAAUCCUCAGCAAGCCUCAUUGCAUGCUCUUUUUUUUUUUUUCCUCCGCUGAAUUUCUAUCCAUCCAGGAGCUUCAAAAGUGCAAUCCUCUUUAACUACAGAUUCAUGAUGUUGAGGCCAUUAUUUUUAGAUACUGCGGUUUUAAGAAGUGACCCAGAAACAGGAUAUAAACACAACCUCUCCCCACCUCCCUUUCCCCCAAGCAAAGAACCAGAUUAAACUAGUCCAGGCUUGUAUGAAUAUUUAUGCUAGAACCUCUGCCAGAUAAGAUUAGAGGAGUUCAUCCUGCCAGGCGAACACAGACUCUGUACUCAGAUUUAAUGAGAAAUUGACAUGUUAAUAGCAUAUUGAUGCGUCCUUCACCAGGAAAUCUAUACAUGUGUCUUGGGGCCCAGGAGAGGUGCUGUUUUGUCAUUUUUAGUUCUACCAAGAAAGCAGUUGUUGCAAUGAGAAGAAUUCCAAAGACAUCCUGCUUUACACAAAAGAUGAGAAGUGGGGUUUCUAGUGUGAAUAUACCUGGGAAAUUCCUCUCUUGACACUGCCUGUGAGUUUGUAGAGGCUAAUUCUUCUAAGUAGUGUUUCCCAGGGUGUUUUGGUAGAAUGUGAUGACUGUAGGGAGUUAACAGCUCUCACAUGAAGAGAAGGGGCACUAGGGCAAAAAUACUGGAUAAAUGAUGAGGUGAACAGAUUUCUUUUCCUUUUCUUCCUUCCUUCCUCCCUCCCUCCGUCCUUCUCGAUCCCUUUCCUUUUCCUUCCUUCCUUCCUUCCAUCUCUCUUUCUUUUCCUCUCUCUCUUUCUUUCUUUCCUGUUUAGGGGCACUCAGGGCAUAUUGAAGUUCCCAGGCUAGGGGCUGAAUCAGAGACAUAGCUGCCAGCCUACACCACAGCCACAGCAAUGCCAGAUCUGAGCCAUGUCUGUGACCUAUACCGCAGCUCAUGGCAACGCAGGAUCCUUAACCUACUGAGCGAGGCCAGGGAUAGAACCUGCAUCCUCAUGGAUACUAGUUGGGUUUGUAACCUGCUGGAACCUUCCUGAACAGACUUCUUUACAACAGAACUUUUCACCCUUUCACUUUCCAAGAAGCAGAGAAAUUAUGCUGUGCUUCCAGACUUUUUAGACUAUGGAGUUCUUCUUUCUCAAAGUAACAUGUCCCAGAGCAUACAACUUUUUUGUAUGUGUUAUGCCUCCCCUUGGCAGGCUAAGGAUCCCAUCUCAGAAAAACAUGUUUAAAUGCAAAAAAUAAAACACAUAGGAUUAUAAACGAAACAAUUUGUAUCAAAACCAAAAACACUACUAAAAAUAUUUUGAAAUAUUUAAAAAUGGGCAUACAUUAAUAUAGGCACUUUUUUUUUUGUCUUUUUGCUAUUUCUUGGGCCGCUCCCGCGGCAUAUGGAGGUUCCCAAGCUAGGGGUCUAAUCGGAGCUGUAGCCACCGGCCUACACCGGAGCCACAGCAAUGCGGGAUCCGAGCCUCGUCUGCAACCUACACCACAGCUCACGACAACGCCGGAUCGUCAACCCACUGAGCAAAGGCAGGGAUUGAACCCGCAACCUCAUGGUUCCUAGUCAGAUUCGUUAACCACUGCGCCACGAUGGGAACUCCUAAUCUAGGCACUUCUUUUUUAAUGGGUCUAAUAAUUAUAGGUGUUUCAAGGUACUGAUGGCCAUGAAUGUUAUUUCAAGAUAUGGUCAUUCCUCAGUAGUCAUAAAUUCUGAUAUUGUGAAUUCAUCUACUUGCAAAAAUUUAUCUGUAACCUCCAAAUCAAUACUCAUGGCCCUUCUGCGGUCAUUUGAGCAAUGAGAAAUUUUAGUCUCCUGAUCUACCUUUUUCAGCUAAGGUUGAAUAAGGUGGGAUUCUGCCUUCUUGUUUCAGCUCUCACACUGUAAACAAGUGUCCUUUUCAUGGUGUAUUUACUGCUAUAUUUGGGUCAUUUUUAUGCAUUUUUAUUGGUGAUUUCACUGUCUAAAAUGAUCCCCAAGUGCAGUGCUGAAGUGCCGCCUUGUGCUCUUAGAUGCAAGAGACUGUGAUGUGCCUUAUAAAAAAACCAGGUGAGCAGUUAAGCUGCAUUCAGAUGUGAGCUGUAGUACUACUGGUGGGUGUGAAUUCAGUGUUAAUCAAUCAACUAUAAAUUAAGUGAGGUGCCUUUAAACAAAAACCACACAUUAAAAAAGACUGUGUAUUGAUUGGUUGAUGAUAAUAUUGUGACCAGAGGCUCAUAGGAACGUAACCUCACUUUUCCCCUAGGAGUAAUGGUUCAGCAUUUGCUAGUUCAGUGUUCAAGGUGACCUUACAGAACAUAAUUGCUGAAUAAUGAGAACUGAUAUAGGCGCUAACAUACAACUUUUUGUAAAAAUGCAGUGUUUUAUUGUCUACGAUCAUAUUUAAAGGAGAUGAUGAAAUUUACUUAGAGGGAUAAUUUUUUCCAGUCGAGCUCAUAGACACCCUGAAUUCUGAGGGAGGGGAUACCCGUAAACCCCAGUUAAGAAUCCUUUCUCUAGUGGGACUAGCUUGGGGAGAGGGUGGAAAGGGGCAGCUGGUGCAAAUUCCUGAGGGCUCAGGUCCUGCUCUGUUGUGUAUCAAUACAAGUCUCAUUAUGAAGAUUUUUUUUUAACUGAUUUGCUUUUGCUGGGGGCUCAGAACUCAGGUACUUCCAUCCUCCCACCUGAACCUGUUCAGAACCUGAAUAAGAUCCAGGAAGAUGCAGGUUUGAUUCCUGCCUCGCUCGGUGGGUUAAGGAUCUGGCGUUGCUACGAGCUGUGUAAGUCACAGAUGUGGCUCAGAUCUGGCAUUGCUAUAGCUGUGGUAUAGGCUGGCAGCUGAAGCUUCGAUUCCACCACUAGUCCAAUAACUUCCAUAUGCCGCAGAGGCAGCUGUAAAAUAAAAAAAAUAAUAAUAAUAAAGCAGGAAAAAGUGGCAGGGACAGAGAUGACCUCUAGGAUGGAAGAAAGAAAGAAGGUGGUCAGGCUCAGGACAAUCCAGCCUGGGAAUCUCCUCCCUGCACCUUAAAAAGCUCCCUAUACACCCACUCUAGUUUCUUCCAGGUUUUACAAUGACUCAAUUCCUUGAGGGCCUUCUAGAAAAAAAAUCAGGGCCUAAAAUGAAUUCUCCACCCUUCCAACAGCAGCAAAAGCAAGACAAGAUUAUCAGCUUUGGAGUUCCCAUUAUGCCUCAGUGGUAACCACCCUGACUAGUGACCAUGACAAUGUGGGUUUGAUCCUUGGCCUCACUCAGUGGGUUAAGGAUCUGGCAUUGCUGUGAGCUGUGGUGUAGGUCGCCGACGAGGCUCUGAUCUGAUGUUGCUGUGGCUAUGGCGUAAGCAGGUAGCUAUGGGUCUGAUUCGCCCCCUAGCCUGGGAACCUCCAUGUGCCUUGGGUGUGCAAAAACAAAAACAAAAAACUUGAAAAUCAUACCAGUACUCCCCAAGGGGGGAAAAAAAAAAGAUAUCAGCUUCACUAGUAGUCAGGGAAAUGAACAUUAGAAUAGCAAUUAGGUAACUUCACAUUUUAAACAGAGGGGAGAUUGAAUGGAAUUCUUUUUCAAGGAAUACAAAAUUUUAGUGCUGUGUUCUCAGAGUCUAUCUUGAGACUGAUUAAGAUUUCAGAUUAAUAAAAAAAAUAAGAUAACAAGAGUACAACAAGUAUUGGUAUUUCAGUGCUUAGAAAUAAGAUGAGAUGUUGAAACACCAAAAUGAGGAGGGGACGGAUAUACCAGGUGGCCAGAGCUCAGUACCUCCACACCUCACACCUUCCUGCCUGAAACAAACAGCCUCCUGAGGACUAGUUGGUCCCCUGUUGAUCUGCCUCCUGGGGACAUGUACUGGUCAUGCUGAGACAAGGAUUAUGCCCAGGUGACAAGAGUUAAUGGGUUCACAACAUUUUAAGUGUUUUGGCUCCUAAAACUGAAGCUCACGAAUAACCUGGCAAAUGAAUCUUGAGAGCAGAGGUGGGUUUAAGUCUACGAAAGGUUAGGUUUUAGGGUUCCUUCUAAAGCCCUGGAAGGGGCCGAUCAGUGAAUUCACAGAGUCCUAUGCUUUGUCAAAUGGGCAAAAGUCAGACAUUUUACACUUGAACCUAACCAAAAGGCCGAGAAGCGAUAAAGUCAGACAUUUUAAACACAUUCACGAAGAUGGGAUUAAAAUGAUGGAAUAGAAGGACUGGAGCUCAACUUCUCUUCUAAAACAACAAAAUUCACAACUAAAAGCUGAGAAUUCUUCACUCAAAUAGACUGGAAACCUUCAAAAAGAUAUCCUACUCCAGAAGAAAAAGAGGAGGCCACAUCAAGAGGUAGGAGGGGCGAUUUCACGAUAUAAACAACCCCAUACCUCCCGGGUGGGAAGCUCCACAGACUAAAAACUAACUGGUUCACAGAGACUCACCUACCAGAGUGAGAGUUCUCAGCCCCACAUCAAACUCUCAUGUGUGGGGAUCUGGCACCGGGAGAAAGAGCCCCUGGAGCAUCUGGCAUUGAAGGCCAGUGGGGCUUGUGUGCAGGAGCUCCACAGGACUGGGGGAAACGGAGACCCCAUUCUUUAAAGGCGCACAUGGAAUUUCACAUGCACUGGGUCUCAGGGCAGAGUGAGGUCUCCAUGGGAAUCUGGGUCAAACCUGACUGCAGUCCUUGGAGGACAUCCUGGGAAAACAGGGGUGAAUGUGGCUUGUUGAGAGGAAAAGACAUUGAAAGCAAAGCUCUCGGGAAUAUUCAGCAGCAUGCCUGUCUCUGGAGGUGGCCAUUUUGGGAAAAUCUGGCCCCACCCAUCAGUCAGUGCUGAGAAGCCCCAGGACAAACAACAUUCCAGGUGGGAUCACAGCCCUGCCCCUCAGCAAACAGGCCACCUAAAGACCCCUCAGGCACACAGCUGCCUCUAUUCCCACCCAGAGACUAAGCCCCACCCACCAGAGGGAUUAGAAUCAGCUCCGCCUACCAUCAGUGGGCAGGCAUCAGCCCCUCCCAUCAGGAAGCCUACAGAAAGCCCCCAUACCGA